UCGGGUGCGCGUCGUUGGGUCAGUUUUCCGCAGUCAAAAAGCUGCUAACCUCGUGCAAUGCACGUGAUUUUACCGUAGGUUUCCGAAGACGUUCUCCUCGAUGUCUACGUAAUUAGGCUCAGUUCGAUCUCAGCCACGUGGCUUCAUUCCGUGUGUGAUCACUCCAAUCUUGGAUAACCAACGGUUAGAUGAGAGGAAACCACUAUCACGUGCAUUUCGGUACAAUGGACUCGACGAGAUCACAAAACGGUUCGGCCCAAUCUCCAAUGUGCCGUUGUGAUCGAAGGAUCCCAACUGACGAAGCACGGGAGGUGAUCACCGUCGCCUUUUCCCCAUAGCCGGAGCACUAAUAAUGAAGCAGAAGAUGAGACCCUUCAAAGACGAGUUCUCCUUCCGUUCGCCCUCCUCUCCUCUCGAUUCCCCUUCCCCGAUUCCGUAGAAAGUUCUUCAUUUCUUCUCUUGUUUCUUCCCGUGUGUGGCAGAGGAGCGGCUCGCGGAAUCGAGGGAUAUCCUCGCCAAGUACCCCGAUCGAGUGCCGGUUCUCGAGGAGUGCUCUCCCGGAUAUGGAAAAGAGAAAAUAUCUGGUGCCGAGAGACAUGUCUGUUGGGCAAUUCAUUUACAUAUGAAGUGAUCCUGGGAAAGCCCUUUUUGUGUUUGUCAAAAAUACCUUACCACCAACAGGCACUAGUCUGUAUCGUCUUCUUCAUGCAUUCACCACAAGAUCGAUUCAUUUCUGGUCAUGCGUGCUUCUCCAUAGCUGAUUUCACAGCCACACUUUUGGAUUCCAUAUACGAGUCAUACAAAGAUGUGGACGGCUUCCUGUACAUGUCUACAGUGGCGGAAAGAUUUUUGGUUAAGUAAAUAUUGAUAUAUAUCAAUGAUCUAUAUAAACAGUGAUGUGUAAAUGAUGAUGGGGAUGUUUUAUUCGGGGCUAAUUAUAUAUUAUGCUCUAUAGUUAGUUA